rnacentral:rRNA from 1 species
GAACGCUAGCUACAGGCUUAACACAUGCAAGUCGAGGGGCAGCAUGGUCUUAGCUUGCUAAGACUGAUGGCGACCGGCGCACGGGUGAGUAACACGUAUCCAACCUGCCGUCUACUCUUGGACAGCCUUCUGAAAGGAAGAUUAAUACAAGAUGGCAUCAUGAGUCCGCAUGUUCACAUGAUUAAAGGUAUUCCGGUGGACGAUGGGGAUGCGUUCCAUUAGAUAGUAGGCGGGGUAACGGCCCACCUAGUCUUCGAUGGAUAGGGGUUCUGAGAGGAAGGUCCCCCACAUUGGAACUGAGACACGGUCCAAACUCCUACGGGAGGCAGCAGUGAGGAAUAUUGGUCAAUGGGCGAGAGCCUGAACCAGCCAAGUAGCGUGAAGGAUGACUGCCCUAUGGGUUGUAAACUUCUUUUAUAAAGGAAUAAAGUCGGGUAUGGAUACCCGUUUGCAUGUACUUUAUGAAUAAGGAUCGGCUAACUCCGUGCCAGCAGCCGCGGUAAUACGGAGGAUCCGAGCGUUAUCCGGAUUUAUUGGGUUUAAAGGGAGCGUAGAUGGAUGUUUAAGUCAGUUGUGAAAGUUUGCGGCUCAACCGUAAAAUUGCAGUUGAUACUGGAUAUCUUGAGUGCAGUUGAGGCAGGCGGAAUUCGUGGUGUAGCGGUGAAAUGCUUAGAUAUCACGAAGAACUCCGAUUGCGAAGGCAGCCUGCUAAGCUGCAACUGACAUUGAGGCUCGAAAGUGUGGGUAUCAAACAGGAUUAGAUACCCUGGUAGUCCACACGGUAAACGAUGAAUACUCGCUGUUUGCGAUAUACUGCAAGCGGCCAAGCGAAAGCGUUAAGUAUUCCACCUGGGGAGUACGCCGGCAACGGUGAAACUCAAAGGAAUUGACGGGGGCCCGCACAAGCGGAGGAACAUGUGGUUUAAUUCGAUGAUACGCGAGGAACCUUACCCGGGCUUAAAUUGCAGAUGAAUUACGGUGAAAGCCGUAAGCCGCAAGGCAUCUGUGAAGGUGCUGCAUGGUUGUCGUCAGCUCGUGCCGUGAGGUGUCGGCUUAAGUGCCAUAACGAGCGCAACCCUUGUUGUCAGUUACUAACAGGUUCCGCUGAGGACUCUGACAAGACUGCCAUCGUAAGAUGUGAGGAAGGUGGGGAUGACGUCAAAUCAGCACGGCCCUUACGUCCGGGGCUACACACGUGUUACAAUGGGGGGUACAGAGGGCCGCUACCACGCGAGUGGAUGCCAAUCCCAAAAACCUCUCUCAGUUCGGACUGGAGUCUGCAACCCGACUCCACGAAGCUGGAUUCGCUAGUAAUCGCGCAUCAGCCACGGCGCGGUGAAUACGUUCCCGGGCCUUGUACACACCGCCCGUCAAGCCAUGGGAGCCGGGGGUACCUGAAGUGCGUAACCGCGAGGAGCGCCCUAGGGUAAAACUGGUGAC